UCUGGUGACUACAAGUCCCACAAUGCAAAGGAGAAAGCUUUUCAAAUAGAGGGUUAGGAAGGAUCUUGGACCACGAGUGAAUGAGUUUAGAGUUCUUGGUUUGGCUCGUGGAGUCAUUGUCUGCCUGAGGCUGUUUGGCAGCUGGCACUGGGGCUUUCAUUCAGCACAGACAAGGGCAUGCUGCUCUCCUCCUGGCUUGGAGCCAGGCCAAAGCCACUAAGUGAGUGGUAUUCAGGGAAGAUUUGGCUUCUGAGUGUGCAGAGUGUUUUUCUGAGUGGGGUACCAGCCUUUCUCUUACAAUGA